ACUGCUCAGUAACACGUGGACAACCUGCCCUUAGGUUGGGUAUAAACCCGGGAAACUGGGUAUAAUACCCGAUAGGUCUCGAUUGCUGGAAUGCAUCGAGAUUUAAAGCUCCGGCGCCUAAGGAUGGGUCUGCGGCCUAUCAGGUAGUAGUGGGUGUAGCGUACCUACUAGCCUACGACGGGUACGGGUUGUGAGAGCAAGAGCCCGGAGAUGGAUUCUGAGACACGAAUCCAGGCCCUACGGGGUGCAGCAGGCGCGAAAACUUUACAAUGCUGGCAACAGCGAUAAGGGAACCUCGAGUGCCAGGUUACAAAUCUGGCUGUCGAGAUGCCUAAAAAGCAUUUCAUAGCAAGGGCCGGGCAAGACCGGUGCCAGCCGCCGCGGUAACACCGGCGGCUCGAGUGGUAACCGUUAUUAUUGGGUCUAAAGGGUCUGUAGCCGGCCGGAUAAGUCUCUUGAGAAAUCUGGCAGCUUGACUGUCAGGCUUUCAGGAGAUACUGUCUGGCUCGAGGCCGGGAGAGGUGAGAGGUACUUCAGGGGUAGGGGUGAAAUCUUGUAAUCCUUGAAGGACCACCAGUGGCGAAGGCGUCUCACCAGAACGGACCUGACGGCAAGGGACGAAAGCUAGGGGCACGAACCGGAUUAGAUACCCGGGUAGUCCUAACCGUAAACGAUACUCGCUAGGUGUCGGCCACGGUGCGACCGUUGUCGGUGCCGUAGGGAAGCCGUGAAGCGAGCCACCUGGGAAGUACGGCCGCAAGGCUGAAACUUAAAGGAAUUGGCGGGGGAGCAC
rnacentral:rRNA from 1 species